GUAAUACGGAGGGUGCAAGCGUUACUCGGAAUCACUGGGCGUAAAGAGCGCGUAGGCGGGGUAGUAAGUCAGAUGUGAAAUCCUAUGGCUUAACCAUAGAACUGCAUUUGAAACUACUACUCUAGAGUAUGGGAGAGGUAGGUGGAAUUCUUGGUGUAGGGGUAAAAUCCGUAGAGAUCAAGAGGAAUACUCAUUGCGAAGGCGACCUGCUGGAACAUUACUGACGCUGAUGCGCGAAAGCGUGGGGAGCAAACAGGAUUAGAUACCCUGGUAGUCCACGCCCUAAACGAUGAAUGCUAGUUGUUGUGGAGCUUGUCUCUGCAGUAAUGCAGCUAACGCAUUAAGCAUUCCGCCUGGGGAGUACGGUCGCAAGAUUAAAACUCAAAGGAAUAGACGGGGACCCGCACAAGCGGUGGAGCAUGUGGUUUAAUUCGAAGAUACGCGAAGAACCUUACCUAGGCUUGACAUUGAUAGAAUCUGCUAGAGAUAGCGGAGUGCUGGCUUGCCAGAGCUUGAAAACAGGUGCUGCACGGCUGUCGUCAGCUCGUGUCGUGAGAUGUUGGGUUAAGUCCCGCAACGAGCGCAACCCUCGUCCUUAGUUGCUAACAGUUCGGCUGAGCACUCUAGGGAGACUGCCUUCGUAAGGAGGAGGAAGGUGAGGACGACGUCAAGUCAUCAUGGCCCUUACGCCUAGGGCUACACACGUGCUACAAUGGGAUGUACAAAGAGACGCAAUACCGCGAGGUGGAGCAAAUCUCAAAAACAUCUCUCAGUUCGGAUUGUAGUCUGCAACUCGAC
rnacentral:rRNA from 1 species